rnacentral:tRNA from 1 species
AGAAACUUAGGUUACAUUUAAACCAUAGACCUUCAAAGCCUAAAAUAGGGUAAAAACUCUAGUUUCUG